rnacentral:rRNA from 1 species
UACGUAGGGCGCAAGCGUUGUCCGGAAUUAUUGGGCGUAAAGAGCUCGCAGGCGGCUUGUCACGUCGGGUGUGAAAGCCCGGGGCUUAACCCCGGGUCUGCAUUCGAUACGGGCUGGCUAGAGUGUGGUAGGGGAGAUCGGAAUUCCUGGUGUAGCGGUGAAAUGCGCAGAUAUCAGGAGGAACACCGGUGGCGAAGGCGGAUCUCUGGGCCAUUACUGACGCUGAGGAGCGAAAGCGUGGGGAGCGAACAGG